UACGUAGGUGGCAAGCGUUGUCCGGAUUCACUGGGUGUAAAGGGCGUGCAGCCGGAGAGACAAGUCAGAUGUGAAAUCCACGGGCUCAACCCGUGAACUGCAUUUGAAACUGUUUCCCUUGAGUGUCGGAGAGGUAAUCGGAAUUCCUUGUGUAGCGGUGAAAUGCGUAGAUAUAAGGAAGAACACCGGUGGCGAAGGCGGAUUACUGGACGAUAACUGACGGUGAGGCGCGAAAGCGUGGGGAGCAAACAGG
rnacentral:rRNA from 1 species